GACGAACGCUGGCGGCGUGCCUAACACAUGCAAGUCGAGCGGAGUCGAUCGACGGAAGCCUUCGGGCGGAAGAUGGUUGACUUAGCGGCGGAUGGGUGAGUAACGCGUGGGCAACCUGCCUCGAAGACCGGGAUAACAGCCCGAAAGGGCUGCUAAUACCGGAUGUGGUCAAGGAUCCGCAUGGAUUUUUGAUUAAAGGGGAAACCCGUUUCGAGAUGGGCCCGCGUCCUAUCAGCUAGUUGGUGAGGUAAAAGCUCACCAAGGCGACGACGGGUAGCCGGCCUGAGAGGGUGACCGGCCACACUGGAACUGAGACACGGUCCAGACUCCUACGGGGGCAGCAGUGGGGAAUCUUCCACAAUGGGCGAAAGCCUGAUGGAGCGACGCCGCGUGAGCGAAGAAGGCCUUCGGGUUGUAAAGCUCUGUCUGGAGGGACGAAGGAAGUGACGGUACCUCCGGAGGAAGCCACGGCUAACUAACGUG
rnacentral:rRNA from 1 species